rnacentral:rRNA from 1 species
UGUCCGCCCGGGAACUACGAGCACUAGCUUAAAACCCAAAGGACUUGGCGGUGCUUAAGAUCCACCUAGAGGAGCCUGUUCUUUAACCGAUAAUCCCCGUUAAACCUCACCCUCUCUUGCCUUCCCCGCCUAUAUACCGCCGUCGUCAGUUUACCCUGUGAAGGAAUAAUAGUUAACAAAAACAGCAAAGCUUAAAACGUCAGGUCGAGGUGUAGCUUAUGAGAGGGGCAGAAAUGGGCUACAUUCUCUGCAACCAGAGCAUACGAAAAAUGAGCUGAAAACCACAACAGAAGGAGGAUUUAGCAGUAAGAGAUAAAUAGAGAGUAUCCCUGAAAUAGGCCCUGAAGCGCGCACACACCGCCCGU